rnacentral:piRNA from 1 species
CAUGAUGCAAUAUCUUCAUGAGCCCAGAGC